UUUAUGGAGAGUUUGAUCCUGGCUCAGGAUGAACGCUGGCGGCGUGCCUAAUACAUGCAAGUCGAACGCACCAUUUCGGUGGUGAGUGGCGAACGGGUGAGUAACACGUAGGUAACCUGCCCUUAAGACGAGGAUAACCAAGGGAAACUUUGGCUAAAACUGGAUAGGAACAUCGAAGGCAUCUUUGAUGUUUUAAAAGACCUAGCAAUAGGUAUGCUUAAGGAGGGGCCUGCGGCGCAUUAGUUAGUUGGUGAGGUGAAGGCUCACCAAGACGAUGAUGCGUAGCCGGACUGAGAGGUUGAACGGCCACAUUGGGACUGAGAAACGGCCCAAACUCCUACGGGAGGCAGCAGUAGGGAAUUUUCGGCAAUGGGGGAAACCCUGACCGAGCAACGCCGCGUGAAUGACGAAGUACUUCGGUAUGUAAAGUUCUUUUAUCAGGGAAGAAUGGCUAGCGGAAAAGCUAGAUUGACGGUACUUGAUGAAUAAGCCCCGGCUAACUAUGUGCCAGCAGCCGCGGUAAUACAUAGGGGGCAAGCGUUAUCCGGAAUUAUUGGGCGUAAAGGGUGCGUAGGUGGUUGAUUAAGUCUUUGGUAUAAGUGCAGUGCUUAACGCUGUGACGCUAAAGAAACUAGUCGACUUGAGUGUAGUAGAGGCAAGUGGAAUUCCAUGUGUAGCGGUAAAAUGCGUAAAUAUAUGGAGGAACACCGGUGGCGAAGGCGGCUUGCUGGGCUAUAACUGACACUGAGGCACGAAAGCGUGGGGAGCAAACAGGAUUAGNNUGUAGGGGAAACUCUGUGCUGUAGCUAACGCAAUAAGUACUCCGCCUGAGUAGUACGUACGCAAGUAUGAAACUCAAAGGAAUUGACGGGACCCCGCACAAGCGGUGGAUCAUGUUGUUUAAUUCGAUGAUACGCGAAGAACCUUACCAGGUCUUGACAUCCCAUGCAAAGCUAUAGAGAUAUAGUGGAGGUUAUCAUGGAGACAGGUGGUGCAUGGUUGUC
rnacentral:rRNA from 1 species